rnacentral:rRNA from 1 species
ACUCCUACGGGAGGCAGCAGUAGGGAAUCUUCCACAAUGGGCGCAAGCCUGAUGGAGCAACACCGCGUGAGUGAAGAAGGGUUUCGGCUCGUAAAGCUCUGUUGUUAAAGAAGAACACGUAUGAGAGUAACUGUUCAUACGUUGACGGUAUUUAACCAGAAAGUCACGGCUAACUACGUGCCAGCAGCCGCGGUAAUACGUAGGUGGCAAGCGUUAUCCGGAUUUAUUGGGCGUAAAGAGAGUGCAGGCGGUUUUCUAAGUCUGAUGUGAAAGCCUUCGGCUUAACCGGAGAAGUGCAUCGGAAACUGGAUAACUUGAGUGCAGAAGAGAGUAGUGGAACUCCAUGUGUAGCGGUGGAAUGCGUAGAUAUAUGGAAGAACACCAGUGGCGAAGGCGGCUACCUGGUCUGCAACUGACGCUGAGACUCGAAAGCAUGGGUAGCGAACAGGAUUAGAUACCCUGGUAGGAUAGCG